CAGCAGGUCUCCAAGGUGAAUAGCCUUUGGUCUAUAGAAUAAUGUAGAUAAGGGAAGUCGGCAAAGCUGAUCCGUAACUUUGGGAUAAGGAUUGGCUCUGAAGACUGAGCUGGUCGGGCUUUGGUCUAAUGCAUGUUAUGCAUUGUCCUCAAGACUGGAUAUAGUGUUGUUAAAUUUUUGAGAUAAAGAUUCUUAAUUUAAGUGGAUAGUAUCUGUGUUGAAACACUUUUUAAAAAGAUUAAAAACCUUUUUAAAAAUUGUCUUCCUCAUACCAAUUGCUUGAAUUAUGCUUUAUUUUCGGUUUUUCAAUUAACUAAUUCUGGACUUGUAUCUUUGCUAACUUGUAGAUAGCCUAAGCUAGACUCUUAUAUUGUUUAAAAAUGUGAUUAAAAGUUAACUUUCAUCGGUUUUCUUUUAGUUUGCGUUUUUUUCAAUACAAGAUGUUCUUUCGGCCAGCAAAAAACAGUUGAAUCAGAACUGGCACGGACUUGGGGAAUCCGACUGUCUAAUUAAAACAAAGCAUUGCGAUGGCCGAUAAUCGGUGUUGACGCAAUGUGAUUUCUG
rnacentral:rRNA from 1 species